GAGGGUAUAGCUCAGUGGUAUAGUGUGUGCUUAGUAUGCACUAGGUCAUGGGUUCGAUCCCUAGUGUCUUCA
rnacentral:tRNA from 1 species